UCAAACAAGCCUAUGGGAAGCUUCCUAAU
rnacentral:piRNA from 1 species